GACAGAGGGUGCAACCGUUGUUCGGAAUUACUGGGCGUAAAGCGUGUGUAGGAGGUCUGCUAAGUCGGGUGUGAAAGCCCUGGGCUCAACCCAGGAAGUGCACUCGAAACUGGCAGGCUAGAGUACUGGAGAGGUUGGUGGAAUUCUCGGUGUAGAGGUGAAAUUCGUAGAUAUCGAGAGGAACACCGGUGGCGAAGGCGGCCAACUGGACAGAUACUGACGCUGAGACACGAAAGCGUGGGGAGCAAACAGG
rnacentral:rRNA from 1 species